CGCAGUGCCAGGGCUCAUGGGGGGAUGCAUCACGAUUUUGAGGCUUUUUAUGCUCAUUCUUAGCUUGUGAUUUGGAGUUGUUCUUGUGUUUCUAUUUCUUCUCUGCAGGUUGGCAGCUAUAGGUUGAGGGUUUUGAUCUUGUAAUUUGGGGGUUUGAUUUUAGGGUUUCUGAAUUUGGGAAUUUUUCUUUGGGGUUUUUUUUUCUUGGUUUUUUUUUUAUGUUGCGAUUCAAAGGAGUUGGGAUCUUUGUUUUCAAAUUGGAUUUUGGGGGUUUCCUGUACUUGUGUUCUUCCCAAUCUUGCAGAUCUGUCUCCCAAAUCACGAUUAAUCUUUCAAACAACAAUAUCCUUAAUUUAAUUUUAAAAACCUUAAUUUAAUUUUGAAAAGAAUUGGGAUCGUCCAUGUCUUGAUCCAAGAAUGGGAUGAAGAUUGGUUAAGC
rnacentral:lncRNA from 1 species